AUUGAACGCUGGCGGCAGGCCUAACACAUGCAAGUCGAACGGUAACAGGAAACAGCUUGCUGUUUCGCUGACGAGUGGCGGACGGGUGAGUAAUGUCUGGGAAACUGCCUGAUGGAGGGGGAUAACUACUGGAAACGGUAGCUAAUACCGCAUAACGUCGCAAGACCAAAGAGGGGGACCUUCGGGCCUCUUGCCAUCGGAUGUGCCCAGAUGGGAUUAGCUAGUAGGUGGGGUAACGGCUCACCUAGGCGACGAUCCCUAGCUGGUCUGAGAGGAUGACCAGCCACACUGGAACUGAGACACGGUCCAGACUCCUACGGGAGGCAGCAGUGGGGAAUAUUGCACAAUGGGCGCAAGCCUGAUGCAGCCAUGCCGCGUAUAUGAAGACGGCCUUCGGGUUGUAAAGUACUUUCAGCGGGGAUGAAGGGAGUAAAGUUAAUACCUUUGCUCAUUGACGUUACCCGCAGAAGAAGCACCGGCUAACUCCGUG
rnacentral:rRNA from 1 species